AUUUUCUCUAUUUUCUUUGCUAUAGCACUGUGUCAAUUGCUAUACAAAGUGAAACAGCUGCCACAUUCUCAUUUUUGAAGCAGCAUCCCAGCCGUGAUGUCUCUUGCAAGCGGACAGCAUAGCUUCCUAUUUGGCAGGUGCACCUCAGAAAGACCCUGUGGAGAAAGUGUGACCUGUUCCAGCGGUUUCAUGGCUCUAGGAGUAAGACAAGCUGGCUCCUCCUCGCUCUACACAGCGACACCUUUCCAUCCUGACUUCCACAGAAAGGUAGGCCUGCACAAAGACAUAUUAGCUUGAGGAAGAUUUUCAGAGCACUGCAAAACACACUGCGGUUUUGCAGCAGUACUGACUCUAACUGUUAUGUGCAGUCACAGCUGAAGACAAAAUGGCUAGCUUUGCUGCAUACCUUCAUUUCACCAAUGAAAAUCAGGAUAAUCCCUGAUAUUUAUAGGUGCAUUGGGACUUUUUAAGGGCCUUAUCACUUUCAGCACCAAUCUUUGGAAAACUGGGACCUUAACAUAGUAUCUCACACUGAUCAUGCAGAAAAUGAAUGAUCCCAAGGCACCGGGUUUUUUGAAAAUAUUUACUAAAUUAUCUUUUAUCUAGUCCAGAAAGAUUGUCUAGCCCACAUAAGCCUGAAUUAUUGAAGCAGUGAUGGUUAUUUGGUGUGGACUACGUGUUAUUGCACUUUUGUGCUAUAUUCACCACUCUUUGAUAGCAGCAUAACUUUCAAAGGUCAGAAUUCGUUAACAAAGUUAAGGAUGUCACAGUAAGUAGAAAACAAACAAAGAAAAGAAAAGAAAAGAAAAGAAAUAUCAACAUCUGAAUUAGCUGAUCUUUCUCUCAGUUCAUCUACUUAUGGUGAAGACCCUCCACACAGAUUUGCUCCUUCCUGUGUGGAAAACCAUAAAAUGCACUAUCUUCCUUUGAACCCCUGUAAGACUUGGAGUAAGACAAGAUGGAACUGGAAAUAACAUGGACAAUUAUCUUUCUGGUUUCAGAGCCCAGGAGACACAGUUAAAUC
rnacentral:lncRNA from 1 species